rnacentral:misc_RNA from 1 species
UCAUAUUAUUAUGUGUUAAUAAUGAUAUAUAGCAUGCAUAUACAAUAUACAUGAUUUACAUCACUAUACUCCAACAAAAUCACACUACACAAAAACACUACAUCAUAUAUUUUGCACCCCCAGUUGCCUGGAGAGCACUAAUGUUUGCCAAAAAAGCAAAACACGAUUCGUUAAUGAUCCUUCCGCAGGUUCACCUACGGAAA